rnacentral:lncRNA from 1 species
UAGUGUGAUUGCAUUUAUUCUUAUAAAUGUACAGAGCUGUAGAAGUGCAAGCCAAGAGUUCUAUAGAGUAGUACAUAAACACCAUAUGGUACCACUCCUGCUGGGAGGUAAGCCUGGAUACACCCCUCUCCUCAGGAAACUGUCACCUGCAGAACACACAGCACUCAGAAUUAAGGCAGUUUGGCCCUGGGCACAUUGGUGGUAUUUUGGUCUAUACUUACCUUCCACAGCCACCUCCCAGCACACACUGGGUCCCUCUACCUGUGUUGCUGUCUUUCUUUACACUGUGCUACAUUUGAUCCCUUUCCACAUGUGCACUUCACCUCUGCAGACACAAGAAAGGCCUGGACAUGGUCUCUGCAGAUGGGGAAGGGGUUCUGGAUGGAGAUGUUCUUGAGCUCUACAAGCAUUUGCA